rnacentral:rRNA from 2 species
UAAGCCUGUGAAGGUGGCCUGUGAGGGUUGCUGGAGGUAUCAGAAGUGCGAAUGCUGACAUAAGUAACGAUAAAGCGGGUGAAAAGCCCGCUCGCCGGAAGACCAAGGGUUCCUGUCCAACGUUAAUCGGGGCAGGGUGAGUCGACCCCUAAGGCGAGGCCGAAAGGCGUAGUCGAUGGGAAACGGGUUAAUAUUCCCGUACUUGGUGUUACUGCGAAGGGGGGACGGAGAAGGCUAUGUUGGCCGGGCGACGGUUGUCCCGGUUUAAGCGUGUAGGUGUGUGUUCCAGGUAAAUCCGGUUCACUUUAACACUGAGGCGUGAUGACGAGGCACUACGGUGCUGAAGCAACAAAUGCCCUGCUUCCAGGAAAAGCCUCUAAGCAUCAGGUAACAUCAAAUCGUACCCCAAACCGACACAGGUGGUCAGGUAGAGAAUACCAAGGCGCUUGAGAGAACUCGGGUGAAGGAACUAGGCAAAAUGGUGCCGUAACUUCGGGAGAAGGCACGCUGACA